GAUGAAGAACGUAGCGAAAUGCGAUAAGUAAUGUGAAUUGCAGAAUUCAGUGAAUCAUCGAAUCUUUGAACGCACAUUGCGCCCCUUGGUAUUCCGAGGGGCAUGCCUGUUCGAGCGUCAUUAUAACCCCUCAAGCUCAGCUUGGUGUUGGGGCCUGCCGCACGGGCAGCCCUUAAAAUCAGUGGCGGUGCCAUCUGGCUCUAAGCGUAGUAAUUCUUCUCGCUAUAGAGUCCCGGUGGAUGCUUGCCAUUAACCCCCAAUUUUCUAUGGUUGACCUCGGAUCAGGUAGAGAUACCCGCUGAACUUAAGCAUAUCAAUAAGCGGAGGA
rnacentral:misc_RNA from 1 species